rnacentral:rRNA from 1 species
AGAGUUUGAUCAUGGCUCAGAACGAACGCUGGCGGCGUGGAUAAGACAUGCAAGUCGAACGAAAUUUAAACGGUAGCAAUAUUGUUUAAGUUGAGUGGCGCAAGGGUGCGUAACACGUGGGCAAUUUGCCGUAAAGAUUGGGAUAACCCCGAGAAAUCGGAGCUAAUACCGGAUGUGGUUGUUGGAAGGCAUCUUUUGACAACUAAAGUCUGCGGGACCGCAGGGCCUGACACUUUACGAUAAGCCCGCGGCCUAUCAGCUAGUUGGUGAGGUAACGGCUCACCAAGGCUAAGACGGGUAGCUGGUCUGAGAGGACGACCAGCCACACUGGAACUGAGACACGGUCCAGACACCUACGGGUGGCAGCAGUCGAGAAUUUUUCUCAAUGGGGGAAACCCUGAAGGAGCGACGCCGCGUGGGGGAUGAAUGGCUUCGGCCCGUAAACCCCU